UAGGGAAUCUUCGGCAAUGGGGGCAACCCUGACCGAGCAACGCCGCGUGAGUGAAGAAGGUUUUCGGAUCGUAAAGCUCUGUUGUAAGUCAAGAACGAGUGUGAGAGUGGAAAGUUCACACUGUGACGGUAGCUUACCAGAAAGGGACGGCUAACUACGUGCCAGCAGCCGCGGUAAUACGUAGGUCCCGAGCGUUGUCCGGAUUUAUUGGGCGUAAAGCGAGCGCAGGCGGUUUGAUAAGUCUGAAGUUAAAGGCUGUGGCUCAACCAUAGUUCGCUUUGGAAACUGUCAAACUUGAGUGCAGAAGGGGAGAGUGGAAUUCCAUGUGUAGCGGUGAAAUGCGUAGAUAUAUGGAGGAACACCGGUGGCGAAAGCGGCUCUCUGGUCUGUAACUGACGCUGAGGCUCGAAAGCGUGGGGAGCGAACAGGAUUAGAUACCCUGGUAGUCCACGCCGUAAACGAUGAGUGCUAGGUGUUGGGUCCUUUCCGGGAUUCAGUGCCGCAGCUAACGCAUUAAGCACUCCGCCUGGGGAGUACGACCGCAAGGUU
rnacentral:rRNA from 1 species